rnacentral:rRNA from 1 species
AACACGGAAAACUCACCCGGCCCGGACACUAUGAGGAUUGACAGAUUAAAAGCUCUUUCUUGAUUUGGUGGUUGGUGGUGCAUGNCCGUUCUUAGUUGGUGGAGCGAUUUGUCUGGUUAAUUCCGAUAACGAACGAGACUCCUGCCUGCUAAUUAGUGCAUUCGUCCACUGUUCCUGUGUAGNCGGCGUUUGGCAAGGCUGCUGCUUUAUGCUGCCGGUGUUUGAGCAUGCCCUCGGGUGUGUUUGGCACAUGGCGGUUCGGCUGCGGCUGGUCCGGCGUUAGCUUCCGGGUACGGCGCGGGUGCUUACUUCUUAGAGGGACAAGCGGGAGAAGCCGCACGAAAUAGAGCAAUAACAGGUCUGUGAUGCCCUUAGAUGUCCGGGGCCGCACGCGCGCUACAAUGACGGUGGCAAUGAGUCUGACCCCCUGGCCCGAAAGGGUUGGGUAAACUGGUCAAUCACCGUCAUGACAGGGAUCGGGGCUUGGAAUUGUUCCCCGUGAACGAGGAAUUCCUAGUAAGUGCAAGUCAUAAGCUUGUGCUGAUUACGUCCCUGCCCUUUGUACACACCGCCCGUCGCUACUACCGAUUGAAUGGUUUAGUAAGGUCCUUGGAUUGGCGCCAUUGUGGUUGCUGCCGAAAGGUAGUCCGCGAACGGUGCUGAGAAGACGACCAAACUUGAUCAUUUAGA